UACGUAGGGGGCUAGCGUUGUCCGGAAUCAUUGGGCGUAAAGCGCGUGUAGGCGGUUCGGUAAGUCCGCUGUGAAAGUCGGGGGCUCAACCCUCGAAAGCCGGUGGAUACUGUCGGGCUAGAGUACGGAAGAGGCGAGUGGAAUUCCUGGUGUAGCGGUGAAAUGCGCAGAUAUCAGGAGGAACACCGGUGGCGAAGGCGGUGAUCUGGGCCGACACUGACGCUGUAGAAGCGAAAGGCGUGGGGAGCGAACAGG
rnacentral:rRNA from 1 species